GGUUAAGCGACUAAGCGUACACGGUGGAUGCCCUGGCAGUCAGAGGCGAUGAAGGACGUGCUAAUCUGCGAUAAGCGUCGGUAAGGUGAUAUGAACCGUUAUAACCGGCGAUUUCCGAAUGGGGAAACCCAGUGUGUUUCGACACACUAUCAUUAACUGAAUCCAUAGGUUAAUGAGGCGAACCGGGGGAACUGAAACAUCUAAGUACCCCGAGGAAAAGAAAUCAACCGAGAUUCCCCCAGUAGCGGCGAGCGAACGGGGAGCAGCCCAGAGCCUGAAUCAGUGUGUGUGUUAGUGGAAGCGUCUGGAAAGGCGUGCGAUACAGGGUGACAGCCCCGUACACAAAAAUGCACAUGCUGUGAGCUCGAUGAGUAGGGCGGGACACGUGGUAUCCUGUCUGAAUAUGGGGGGACCAUCCUCCAAGGCUAAAUACUCCUGACUGACCGAUAGUGAACCAGUACCGUGAGGGAAAGGCGAAAAGAACCCCGGCGAGGGGAGUGAAAAAGAACCUGAAACCGUGUACGUACAAGCAGUGGGAGCACGCUUAGGCGUGUGACUGCGUACCUUUUGUAUAAUGGGUCAGCGACUUAUAUUCUGUAGCAAGGUUAACCGAAUAGGGGAGCCGAAGGGAAACCGAGUCUUAACUGGGCGUUAAGUUGCAGGGUAUAGACCCGAAACCCGGUGAUCUAGCCAUGGGCAGGUUGAAGGUUGGGUAACACUAACUGGAGGACCGAACCGACUAAUGUUGAAAAAUUAGCGGAUGACUUGUGGCUGGGGGUGAAAGGCCAAUCAAACCGGGAGAUAGCUGGUUCUCCCCGAAAGCUAUUUAGGUAGCGCCUCGUGAAUUCAUCUCCGGGGGUAGAGCACUGUUUCGGCAAGGGGGUCAUCCCGACUUACCAACCCGAUGCAAACUGCGAAUACCGGAGAAUGUUAUCACGGGAGACACACGGCGGGUGCUAACGUCCGUCGUGAAGAGGGAAACAACCCAGACCGCCAGCUAAGGUCCCAAAGUCAUGGUUAAGUGGGAAACGAUGUGGGAAGGCCCAGACAGCCAGGAUGUUGGCUUAGAAGCAGCCAUCAUUUAAAGAAAGCGUAAUAGCUCACUGGUCGAGUCGGCCUGCGCGGAAGAUGUAACGGGGCUAAACCAUGCACCGAAGCUGCGGCAGCGACACUGUGUGUUGUUGGGUAGGGGAGCGUUCUGUAAGCCUGCGAAGGUGACCUGUGAGGGUUGCUGGAGGUAUCAGAAGUGCGAAUGCUGACAUAAGUAACGAUAAAGCGGGUGAAAAGCCCGCUCGCCGGAAGACCAAGGGUUCCUGUCCAACGUUAAUCGGGGCAGGGUGAGUCGACCCCUAAGGCGAGGCCGAAAGGCGUAGUCGAUGGGAAACAGGUUAAUAUUCCUGUACUUGGUGUUACUGCGAAGGGGGGACGGAGAAGGCUAUGUUGGCCGGGCGACGGUUGUCCCGGUUUAAGCGUGUAGGCUGGUUUUCCAGGCAAAUCCGGAAAAUCAAGGCUGAGGCGUGAUGACGAGGCACUACGGUGCUGAAGCAACAAAUGCCCUGCUUCCAGGAAAAGCCUCUAAGCAUCAGGUAACAUCAAAUCGUACCCCAAACCGACACAGGUGGUCAGGUAGAGAAUACCAAGGCGCUUGAGAGAACUCGGGUGAAGGAACUAGGCAAAAUGGUGCCGUAACUUCGGGAGAAGGCACGCUGAUAUGUAGGUGAAGCGACUUGCUCGUGGAGCUGAAAUCAGUCGAAGAUACCAGCUGGCUGCAACUGUUUAUUAAAAACACAGCACUGUGCAAACACGAAAGUGGACGUAUACGGUGUGACGCCUGCCCGGUGCCGGAAGGUUAAUUGAUGGGGUUAGCCGCAAGGCGAAGCUCUUGAUCGAAGCCCCGGUAAACGGCGGCCGUAACUAUAACGGUCCUAAGGUAGCGAAAUUCCUUGUCGGGUAAGUUCCGACCUGCACGAAUGGCGUAAUGAUGGCCAGGCUGUCUCCACCCGAGACUCAGUGAAAUUGAACUCGCUGUGAAGAUGCAGUGUACCCGCGGCAAGACGGAAAGACCCCGUGAACCUUUACUAUAGCUUGACACUGAACAUUGAGCCUUGAUGUGUAGGAUAGGUGGGAGGCUUUGAAGUGUGGACGCCAGUCUGCAUGGAGCCGACCUUGAAAUACCACCCUUUAAUGUUUGAUGUUCUAACGUUGACCCGUAAUCCGGGUUGCGGACAGUGUCUGGUGGGUAGUUUGACUGGGGCGGUCUCCUCCUAAAGAGUAACGGAGGAGCACGAAGGUUGGCUAAUCCUGGUCGGACAUCAGGAGGUUAGUGCAAUGGCAUAAGCCAGCUUGACUGCGAGCGUGACGGCGCGAGCAGGUGCGAAAGCAGGUCAUAGUGAUCCGGUGGUUCUGAAUGGAAGGGCCAUCGCUCAACGGAUAAAAGGUACUCCGGGGAUAACAGGCUGAUACCGCCCAAGAGUUCAUAUCGACGGCGGUGUUUGGCACCUCGAUGUCGGCUCAUCACAUCCUGGGGCUGAAGUAGGUCCCAAGGGUAUGGCUGUUCGCCAUUUAAAGUGGUACGCGAGCUGGGUUUAGAACGUCGUGAGACAGUUCGGUCCCUAUCUGCCGUGGGCGCUGGAGAACUGAGGGGGGCUGCUCCUAGUACGAGAGGACCGGAGUGGACGCAUCACUGGUGUUCGGGUUGUCAUGCCAAUGGCACUGCCCGGUAGCUAAAUGCGGAAGAGAUAAGUGCUGAAAGCAUCUAAGCACGAAACUUGCCCCGAGAUGAGUUCUCCCUGACUCCUUGAGAGUCCUGAAGGAACGUUGAAGACGACGACGUUGAUAGGCCGGGUGUGUAAGCGCAGCGAUGCGUUGAGCUAACCGGUACUAAUGAACCGUGAGGCUUAACCUU
rnacentral:rRNA from 1 species